UGGGGAAUAUUGCACAAUGGGCGCAAGCCUGAUGCAGCCAUGCCGCGUGUGUGAAGAAGGCCUUCGGGUUGUAAAGCACUUUCAGCGAGGAGGAAGGUGGUGAACUUAAUACGUUCAUCAAUUGACGUUACUCGCAGAAGAAGCACCGGCUAACUCCGUGCCAGCAGCCGCGGUAAUACGGAGGAUGCAAGCGUUAAUCGGAAUUACUGGGCGUAAAGCGCACGCAGGCGGUUUGUUAAGUCAGAUGUGAAAUCCCCGGGCUCAACCUGGGAACUGCAUUUGAAACUGGCAAGCUAGAGUCUCGUAGAGGGGGGUAGAAUUCCAGGUGUAGCGGUGAAAUGCGUAGAGAUCUGGAGGAAUACCGGUGGCGAAGGCGGCCCCCUGGACGAAGACUGACGCUCAGGUGCGAAAGCGUGGGGAGCAAACAGGAUUAGAUACCCUGGUAGUCCACGCUGUAAAACGAUGUCGAUUUUGGAGGUUGUGCCCCUUGAGGCGUGGCUUCCGGAGCUAACGCGUUAAAUCGACCGCC
rnacentral:rRNA from 1 species